GAGAGGAGAGGAGAGAGAGAGAGAGGGAGUAGGAGGGAGAGAGGGAGUAGGAGAGAGAGAGGGAGUAGGAGAGAGAGAGACAGAGAGGGAGUAGGAGAGAAGGAGAGAGGGAGUAGGAGAGAAGGAGAGAGGGAGUAGGAGAGAAGGAGAGAGGGAGAAGGAGAUGGAGAGAGGGAGUAGGAGAGAAGGAGUAGGAGAGAAGGAGAGGGGAGUAGGAGAGAGGGAGAAGGAGAGAGGGAGUAAGAGAGAAGGAGUAGGAGAAAGGAGAGAGGGAGAAGGAGAGGGGGAGUAGGAGAGAGGGAGAGAGGGAGUAGGAGAGGGAGAGUAGGAGAGAGGGAGUAGUUAGUGAAGGAGACAGGGAGUAGGAGAGAAGGAAAGAGGGAGUAGGAGAGAGGGAGUAGGAGAGAAUGAGAAGGAGACAGGGAGUAAUAGAGAAUGAGAAGGAGAGAGGAAGUAGGAGAGAAUGAGAAGGACUUGGAGAGACACAAACCUACCCCCCCCUCUCUCUCUCUCUCUCCAAAACACACGUCAAUAUCAUCUGGAGGAGUCCAUUGUGAUAUUGCCUCUCAUUCAUCUCCUGGUUGUCCAUAACUAACCCCCAUAGCCUGCAGAGGUUGAAAUAAAACAUGUAGACCGCUAGUGAAUGAACGCAGCCCAUAAACUAUAAACCCUUGCCAGGCCUUUAUGGAUGAAGGGCUCAGGUGAAGCGUCCGUGUGACACCGUUUUACAAUGUGCUUGCGCACCACUUUUCUGCAACAAUACUGAACUAAUUAAAUAUGACGAUGAACAAAAACACAAGGGUUUUAGUGUUUUUUGGUUUUGGUUAUCUGGUCUUUGUCUCAUUGCUGUCUGAGGAGGGUUCCAUGUGAAACUGUGCCAUCGUCAACAUUGUUUUCCUUGAAGAUGAGAGGAGUUUGGACGUGGAAGAAACUACAGGCCAAGAAAAACGGUCUCUUUCUGUGUGUGAAGUAUUUUUUUUUUGCCAGGCUACAUUCCAAAUUCUAGAGUCAUAAAUCUUCAUCUAAAUGUUUGUCUGCUUGCUGUUGUUUUUCCAUAUGGGAUGGAAUCUGUUUUGUGUUGUUCCAGCUUCUCCUAUGACCUCGAUCCCACCACUCCCUGCCUCUGGUGCAGGGCUCUGCCAAUCACGACGAGCUUGGUCAGUAGACGGUUUUUGAUGGGCAGACGUUCUCAGAGAGAGAUAAGUGUCUGAAGCAGCCGUUGUUGCCCUCCUUUGUGCCCAGUCCAGAACCGUUGCCGUAACGAUAACUGUCCUCCUCUUUUUCCUCUUCAGUCAGACUGCUUUCGUCACCAUCCUCCUCAUCAUCACUUCUUUCAUCUCUGGUCAUCUGGAGUAGAGAGAGAGAAAGACACAGAGAGACAGAGACACACACAGAGAGACAGAGAGAGAGACAGAGAGAGAAAGAGAGAGACAGAGAGAGAGAGAAGAGAGAGAGAGAGAGAGAGAGAGAGAGAGAGAGAGAGAGAGAGAGAGAGACAGAGAGAGAGAGACACACACAGAGAGACAGAGAGAGAGUCAGAGAGACAGAGAGAGAGAGAAAGAGAGAAAGACACAGAGACAGAGACAGACACAGAGAGACAGAGACAGACACAGAGAGAGAGAGAGAGAGAGAGAGAGAGAGAGAGAGAGAGAGAGAGAGAGAGAGAGAGAGAGAGAGAGAGAGAGAGAGAGAGAGAGAGGAAGAGAGAGACAGACAGAGAGAGAGACAGAGACACACACAGAGAGACAGAGAGAGAGUCAGAGAGACAGAGAGAGAGAGAGAAAGAGAGAGAAAGACACAGAGAGACAGAGACAGACACAGAGAGACAGAGACAGAGACAGAGACAGAGACAGAGACAGAGAGAGAGAGAGAGAGAGAGAGAGAGAGAGAGAGAGAGAGAGAGAGAGAGAGAGAGAGAGAGAGAGAGAAAGCGCGAGAGAGAGAAUGUACUCAGGACAUUCAUCGAGAUAUCAUGCCACUUUCUACCUCAGAGACCAUUAUCAUCUCUAACACAGUAGUUCCCAUAGUUCUCUCUCUAAAGUGAUUAUUUGUGAUCCAAGAAAAUAAAACCAGUGUCUCAAGCCAGUACUCUGUCAAAAAAGAAAUCAGCUGUGACCAACCAUUUGGGAAUCACUGCUCCUGCAUCACAGUUCUGCGUAGCCCUAUAUCACUAAAACAUUCACCUAAAAGUAGCAUUGAAACCUGGGGCUGCAUGUAUUGAGCGUCUCAGAGCAGGAGUGCUGAUCAAGGAUGAGUUUAGCCUUUCAGAUCACAAUGAAUACGAUAGCUGAUCCUAGAUCAACACAUACUGAGACGCUACCUACAGCCCUGAGCUAUUUCAACUAACGCAGAAACCCAAUUGGCAGCCUCCGAUCAAUCAAAGACACCUGGAGUUUAGUCCAUGGCAGGUCAGGUCAGUCUUUCAGACUUACCAUAAUAGAGUCUAUUCUCUCUCCUUGAGCUGUCUGACCGCUCUGAGCCACAUUGUGUUUUCCAGAAAUAUAAUUAUGUUCGGCACAAUGCUAAAUCACCAAUAAUUAUGUCCCAAUGGCAACCCACUGUUGCCUUGUGACCUCGUGGGGGUUGAGUAACUGCCUCUGGCAUCUUAGCUGUUUUCUGCCGUUGCCGUAGCUGACAGGGAUCAAGCACCUUGCCAAGCCCAACACAAUUGCACACACACACACACACACACACACACACACACACACACACACACACACACACACACACACACACACACACACACACACACACACACACACACACACACACACACACACACACACACACACACACACACACACACACACACACACACACACACACACACACACACACAGUUCUAACUGCUCAGUUAGUAAGUCUACAUACAGAAUGAGAACAAUGAAACAAUGAAAAACAGGAGCAUUGGGUCUUAGGCUGGAUUCUAGACCACACUGACAGAGAACAGACACUGUAGUCAUCUGACACUGUAGUCAUCUGACAGAGAACAGACACUGUAGUCAUCUGACAUUGUAGUCAUCUGACAGAGAACAGACACUGUAGUCAUCUGACAGAGAACAGACACUGUAGUCAUCUGACAGAGAACAGACACUGUAGUCAUCUGACAUUGUAGUCAUCUGACAGAGAACAGACACUGUAGUCAUCUGACAGAGAACAGACACAGGUGUAGCUGUCUGACAGAGAACAGACACUGGUGUAGCUGUCUGACAGAGAACAGACACUGGUGUAGCUGUCUGACAGAGAACAGACACAGGUGUAGCUGUCUGACAGAGAACAGACACUGGUGUAGCUGUCUGACAGAGAACAGACACUGGUGUAGCUGUCUGACAGAGAACAGACACUGGUGUAGCUGUCUGACAGAGAACAGACACUGGUGUAGCUGUCUGACAGAGAACAGACACUGGUGUAGCUGUCUGACAGAGAACAGACACUGGUGUAGCUGUCUGACAGAGAACAGACACUGGUGUAGCUGUCUGACAGAGAACAGACACUGGUGUAGCUGUCUGACAGAGAACAGACACUGGUGUAGCUGUCUGACAGAGAACAGACACUGGUGUAGCUGUCUGACAGAGAACAGACACUGGUGUAGCUGUCUGACAGAGAACAGACACUGGUGUAGCUGUCUGACAGAGAACAGACACUGGUGUAGCUGUCUGACAGAGAACAGACACUGGUGUAGCUGUCUGACAGAGAACAGACACAGGUGUAGCUGUCUGACAGAGAACAGACACUGGUGUAGCUGUCUGACAGAGAACAGACACUGGUGUAGCUGUCUGACAGAGAACAGACACUGGUGUAGCUGUCUGACAGAGAACAGACACUGGUGUAGCUGUCUGACAGAGAACAGACACUGGUGUAGCUGUCUGACAGAGAACAGACACAGGUGUAGCUAUGCUUGGCUAUGCAUGAUCUAGUCAGGUCAGUCAAGCAGCUGUAGGCUGGGGCUCUAUGUGUGUUUAGAGCAAUGUUUCCUAGAACUUUUAAUUUUUUAUUUUAUUUUACCUUUAUUUUACUAGGCAAGUCAGUUAAAAAAAAGUUCUUAUUUUCAAUGACGGCCUAGGAACAGUGAGUUAAAUGCCUGUUCAGGGGCAGAACGACAGAUUUGUACCUUGUCAACUCGGGGAUUCGAACUUGCAA